UACGUAGGGGGCAAGCGUUGUCCGGAUUCAUUGGGCGUAAAGAGCGUGUAGGCGGCCAGGUAGGUCGGUUGUGAAAACUGGAGGCUCAACCUUCAGAGGUCGACCGAAACCACCUGGCUAGAGUCCGGGAGAGGAGAGUGGAAUUCCUGGUGUAGCGGUGAAAUGCGCAGAUAUCAGGAAGAACACCCGUGGCGAAAGCGGCUCUCUGGAACGGUACUGACGCUGAGACGCGAAAGCGUGGGGAGCGAACAGG
rnacentral:rRNA from 1 species